UGGUAUGUGCCCAUUCUUGAGCAAUCCUCCAGAACCAGUGUGCCAAGACAGAGAGAAAGAGAAGGAAAUGCAAGCCGGUUGACCAUGUUGCGCCUGCUUCGCCUGAUUUCCCUUCCUACAGUGGAGGAAGGGAAAGUGGGCACAGAAGGAAACGGAUGAGAACAGGUGAUGUGCGCGCAGACGCAACAGGGCCCACCGCGCAGCUAUGGGCGGUCACCAACGAUGUGCCAAAGUGAGCCGAGGAUACACGGCAUUGAAUAUAUUAAAGCGACAGCGUCUCCUCCACAACAGACAGCUCCGCAUCGAGCGGGGUCGCUUGACGCAAAGCCAUUGCGGUUAACUUGCAACUAUGGGUACUCUUCGGCGUUUGAACUGUGGUGCAGCGCUUGCAACGAGAUCGACCGCAUCGUUUCGCAUUGUGGCUGGCAGCGUGGUUGCCACUUCGUGCAUCUGCGGUGGCAACGCGGUGUGUCAUUACGUUGUUUUAACGCUAAUCGCAGUAACAUCGACAUUCGUCGUGAGAUGGGUUCGGCCGAAAUUGUUUUCCGGUGCUGCAUAGCUCGCAUCCUUUCUCAUUAUUAAAGACAGAGCAAAAACACGACAUCCAGCCUGGCAACUAACCAUUCAUUAUCGUUUGAAGUUGACGCAUAUUUCCCACCUUGAGCUUUUAGUUCAUCUUGCUCGAAAGAUUGCGUGUUGCCGAUUGCCGAUAAAAGAGUGGCGCACACGGGCCUGACUCUCGUGACGACGAGCGUCGUCAUAAUCUCGCAUGGGACUCGAUAUUUUUUGAGCGCGCCGUAGAACGCUAUAACCCGCUGUGGGGAACGAUGUCAUGCGCAUACGUUCAUCUUCUGAUAAGCCACUUUUUCCUUCCAGAGUUGUCUUUUCUCAGCUGCAUUUCAACACUGUGCGCGGUCAAUGUCUGAGCUCCUGCACGGCUCAUAAUUCCUACAUUAUUUUCGCCAGAGCAAUGCCUGCGCCUUUCGUUUUCUAAUCACACAAGCACCGACGUAGCGUUGCUAGUUUGACAAUAAGAGAAACAAAAAAGGAAGUCAGUGUUAGCACCCCGAGUUCUUCUCUGGUCUCCCAAGACUUGGAAACUUGAUCCACAAAUUUUUGAUGGAAAGAGGAGGGUCACCGAAAGAAGGGAAUCCCCCUGCGGUCGCGUUCUUUGGUUUACCUGCCGGUAACACCCAUCCAGCCCGCAGCGAAGUACGUGGGCCUGUCGGUGUCCGCGCUAGCUUUCGAGCGCACCCGUAUUGGCGAGGAGAAAGGGAGCCAACGCAAACAACCAGCGAUGAAGUCAGUCGACAGCUCAUCUGCGAUCCAAUAAUUCGCCCUCGGAGAGAAGUUCCGACCGGCGCGCACCACCCCCGUGCAUUCUCGGCGAGCUGCAGUGUUCGUGGACGGAGCGCAUCCAUCUCCCGAUGCCACCGAGCGCUGCGGUGGCAGCGACGCCCUUCCGCUCACUCGCGUCUUCUUCAGCGUGGCAAGCCGUUGUGCAUCGGGGUUUAGUUGGGCGCGGUCAUGCAUAGGCGCCGACUACGGAGGAGGGGUCCGAGCCCCUUCCUGCGAUACCGAAGCCUAUAUAACCCCCCAACUCUAAAGUGCCAAAGUUUUGUCAACCACAUCAUUAUCUUAGUUUUCUUUUGAGUUACCUCUAACUUAUCACUUAAAAUUUUAUUCUGGCUAAUGGCUUACUGCAUCGUUUUCGGCGCGGACGUGCACGGCUUUUAACUCAUGUUUUCGCUUUACUUCUGCAAAUCCUGACAAUAUGAGGACAAACGCAUUAAAAGCACUAGCGGCGGCUGCCUCAGCCGUAUUUUCUCAUUUCAACAUUGGUUUAAAUUUCCACUGUAAACAGCAUGCACGUACACAAUAUAUUGAAAUAUGCAAAACAGGGCAAAUCUGAUUAUAUUAUUGAAAGAGAAGGAGGUCGGCAAUUAAAAAUUAUUUCUAAAGGUAUGGAUAGCCUAUGCCUAGAGAAUGAAUGUGUUGCUGUAUGUUUACCUCGCUUCAAAUUUCUUUGCGUGCUUUUUUGAUCCUGAAAAAACCUGCAGACUUCAGUCACCCCUUCGCCACACUCUUUUAUCAACGGCGUGUGAAAUGCACGUGAAUGAUGUGUGUGUCGGUAUUGCUUCUCUUCCCAGUGUGCAAUGCUAACGACUCAUGAAAAAAAGAACUCUUCUAAUAAUUUAAAUUUAUUACGGAUGGAAAUAUCCCCAAUGGCACGCAGAGGUCAUAAAUAUAUAUAGGGUGCCCCAAUUAACUAUCAAGCACCCAGAUUUUAAAAAAAGAGCGAUUGUGUUACUUCAACAAAAGCUAGUGAAUAUUGUUUCCCGUAUCGUGGUGUAGCUGCCAGUAAUUGUUUCAUUACUGAGAUUUAAUUAGGUAAUUGUAAUUAAUUAUCUAACUCGAGACGUACUAUCCUGAUUAUCAAAGUGUCAAUGAGGCAUUUGUAGGCACGGCCAAAGGACAUAUAAGUGUGGUAUAUUCAGCGACGUACUAACUGUGUUCAAAUUUUUUUCCAACGGAUAAAUAAACUCCGCGAAAUAUGGAGAAUACCACGUGACUGCGCUCCCACCUUGAUCAUAAAGCAGCACCCUGAAAGGGAGACGUGGUAUUGCUAUUGCUAAAGGGAAACGUACUGGCUCCUUCUCAGUUAGCCAGUACGAAAUGAAGGAAAUAAACAACAACAUUGUGAUAGGGCUAGUGCCUUAUCUGCCGCGUCGCGGCUGAAGUAACAAGUCGCGUUUGGUGUUAGUUGGAAACAAGCUGUCAACGCUGUUGUCUUGGCGUAGAUGAAGUGCACGGAUGUUUUUUUUCUCUCUUUUUUUUUGCCACAAGACCUAUCACCACAAAAGCGAAUUGACAACACCAGUGCGAACGUUUCGAGGCACGUUUUGUUUCGUCUCAGUCGCCGUGUCUUUCUCUACUGAGCAGAAGGAAAACAUGAUUUUUGCCUUGGGCUCUGCAAAUGGCAACAAGAGGAAGGCCGCAAAUAUGCAGGGCGUUCAAAAUUAGGCUUUAUGGUUUUCUUGAAAUUGCGCACUGGGAGGCACGCCAAGACCACCUGUGCAAACAAGUUAUGUCGCCAGGAGGACACAAAGUGAGAUGAUAAUUAUCGCUGUCAGCAGCCCAAUUACCUACAAUUGAAUAAACAACUUUUUAUUGACUGCA